GGUCCCGCCUGCCCAGUGACUCUUUAAACGGCCGCGGUAUCCUAACCGUGCAAAGGUAGCAUAAUCACUUGUCCCCUAAAUAGGGACUGGUAUGAAUGGCUAAAUGAGGACUAAACUGUCUCUUGCGGACUAGCCAAUGAAAUUGAUUUUCCAGUACAAAAGCUGGAAUAUACCCAUAAGACGAGAAGACCCUGUGGAGCUUCAAAACCAAAUCACCCAGCAUGCUUAUUGGAUUUUUAGUUGGGGCGACUUCGGAAUAUAGUAAAACUUCCAAAAAUAAAUUAAUUUCAUCAAGGUUAACACACCAAAAUUUCUUUAUAGACCCAGCAACUAACUUUAUUUGUCUGACCAAUGAACCAAGUUACCCCAGGGAUAACAGCGCAAUCUCCUUUUAGAGUCCAUAUCGACAAGGGGGUUUACGACCUCGAUGUUGGAUCAGGACACCCCAAUGGUGCAGCCGCCAUUAAAGGUUCGUUUGUUCAACGAUUAACAGUCCU
rnacentral:rRNA from 1 species